UAAGUGAAUGGUGAAUCUGGUGGCUCAACCGUACAGACUAUUAUUCAACUGGUAAACUCGAGAAUGGUAGAGGUAACUGGAAUUUCUAGUGUAGGAGUGAAAUCCGUAGAUAUUAGAAGGAACACCAAUGGCGUAGGCAGGCUACUGGAUCAUUUCUGACACUGAGGCACGAAAGCGUGGGGAGCGAACCGGAUUAGAUACCCGGGUAGUCCACGCCGUAAACGAUGGAUACUA
rnacentral:rRNA from 1 species